GGUGAUGUAGCUCAGUCGGUAGAGCAAAGGACUGAAAAUCCUUGUGUCGAUGGUUCGAUUCCAUUCAUCACCA
rnacentral:tRNA from 1 species